UUGAACGCUGGCGGCAGGCCUAACACAUGCAAGUCGAGCGGUAGCACAGAGAGCUUGCUCUCGGGUGACGAGCGGCGGACGGGUGAGUAAUGUCUGGGAAACUGCCUGAUGGAGGGGGAUAACUACUGGAAACGGUAGCUAAUACCGCAUAAUGUCGCAAGACCAAAGUGGGGGACCUUCGGGCCUCAUGCCAUCAGAUGUGCCCAGAUGGGAUUAGCUAGUAGGUGGGGUAAUGGCUCACCUAGGCGACGAUCCCUAGCUGGUCUGAGAGGAUGACCAGCUACACUGGAACUGAGACACGGUCCAGACUCCUACGGGAGGCAGCAGUGGGGAAUAUUGCACAAUGGGCGCAAGCCUGAUGCAGCCAUGCCGCGUGUGUGAAGAAGGCCUUCGGGUUGUAAAGCACUUUCAGCGGGGAGGAAGGCGAUAAGGUUAAUAACCUUGGCGAUUGACGUUACCCGCAGAAGAAGCACCGGCUAACUCCGUGCCAGCAGCCGCGGUAAUACGGAGGGUGCAAGCGUUAAUCGGAAUUACUGGGCGUAAAGCGCACGCAGGCGGUCUGUCAAGUCGGAUGUGAAAUCCCCGGGCUCAACCUGGGAACUGCAUUCGAAACUGGCAGGCUAGAGUCUUGUAGAGGGGGGUAGAAUUCCAGGUGUAGCGGUGAAAUGCGUAGAGAUCUGGAGGAAUACCGGUGGCGAAGGCGGCCCCCUGGACAAAGACUGACGCUCAGGUGCGAAAGCGUGGGGAGCAAACAGGAUUAGAUACCCUGGUAGUCCACGCCGUAAACGAUGUCGACUUGGAGGUUGUGCCCUUGAGGCGUGGCUUCCGGAGCUAACGCGUUAAAUCGACCGCCUGGGGAGUACGGCCGCAAGGUUAAAACUCAAAUGAAUUGACGGGGGCCCGCACAAGCGGUGGAGCAUGUGGUUUAAUUCGAUGCAACGCGAAGAACCUUACCUGGUCUUGACAUCCACAGAACUUAGCAGAGAUGCUUUGGUGCCUUCGGGAACUGUGAGACAGGUGCUGCAUGGCUGUCGUCAGCUCGUGUUGUGAAAUGUUGGGUUAAGUCCCGCAACGAGCGCAACCCUUAUCCUUUGUUGCCAGCGGUUCGGCCGGGAACUCAAAGGAGACUGCCAGUGAUAAACUGGAGGAAGGUGGGGAUGACGUCAAGUCAUCAUGGCCCUUACGACCAGGGCUACACACGUGCUACAAUGGCAUAUACAAAGAGAAGCGACCUCGCGAGAGCAAGCGGACCUCAUAAAGUAUGUCGUAGUCCGGAUUGGAGUCUGCAACUCGACUCCAUGAAGUCGGAAUCGCUAGUAAUCGUAGAUCAGAAUGCUACGGUGAAUACGUUCCCGGGCCUUGUACACACCGCCCGUCACACCAUGGGAGUGGGUUGCAAAAGAAGUAGGUAGCUUAACCUUCGGGAGGGCGCUUACCACUUUGUGAUUCAUGACUGGGGUG
rnacentral:rRNA from 1 species